rnacentral:rRNA from 1 species
UACGUAGGGGGCAAGCGUUGUCCGGAUUUACUGGGCGUAAAGGGCGUGCAGGCGGUUUGUUAAGUGCAGGGUGAAAGCUCCCGGCUCAACUGGGAGAGGUCCUUGCAUACUGGCGAACUCGAGGGAGGCAGAGGAAAGUGGAAUUCCCGGUGUAGUGGUGAUAUGCGUAGAUAUCGGGAGGAACACCUGUGGCGAAGGCGGUCAACUGGCCCUAAACUGACGCUCAGGCACGAAAGCGUGGGGAUCAAACAGG